UUCUCGUUAGCUCAGUUGGUCGAACGCUCCACUGGAAAUGGAGAGGUCCCUGGUACGAUGCCAGGACCAGGCG
rfam:Ixodes scapularis strain Wikel colony gcontig_1108378701560, whole genome shotgun sequence.